rnacentral:rRNA from 1 species
UACGAAGGGGGCUAGCGUUGCUCGGAAUCACUGGGCGUAAAGGGUGCGUAGGCGGGUCUUUAAGUCAGGGGUGAAAUCCUGGAGCUCAACUCCAGAACUGCCUUUGAUACUGAGGAUCUUGAGUACGGGAGAGGUGAGUGGAACUGCGAGUGUAGAGGUGAAAUUCGUAGAUAUUCGCAAGAACACCAGUGGCGAAGGCGGCUCACUGGCCCGUUACUGACGCUGAGGAGCGAAAGCGUGGGGAGCAAACAGG